rnacentral:rRNA from 1 species
UACGUAGGGGGCUAGCGUUGUCCGGAUUUAUUGGGCGUAAAGAGCGUGUAGGCGGCCAUGUAGGUCCGUUGUGAAAACUCGAGGCUCAACCUCGAGACGCCGAUGGAAACCAUGUGGCUAGAGUCCGGAAGAGGAGAGUGGAAUUCCUGGUGUAGCGGUGAAAUGCGCAGAUAUCAGGAAGAACACCCGUGGCUAAGGCGGCUCUCUAGUACGGUACUGACGCUGAGACGCGAAAGCGUGGGGAGCAAACAGG